UCUUUUCUUCAAUUAUUAUCUUAGCCUUAAUUACUGAAUGGGUAUGAUCUCAGUCAAACUGAGACCUGUUGAAGAUUUUAGUUUGGCCACAAACCAGAUGAAUGGCUUAUAGGCUGACCCUUGAAUGACAGACACAAAGACUGGACUGAUGCAAAAAGCCAUUCCAUAUUGUUAGAAGUUUAUGCUCUGUGUCACAGCCUCCAGAUCUGAGCAUCACCUUUUCUUUACAGUGAAAACUGAAGUGGAACUUGAAGGAAGAAAGAACCUGGCAACUUAAUAUUUAAAUUGCCUGGAACUCAGUAGAGGAUUAAUAUUUGCUUGUUAAAUAACUCUGGAUGUGAUUUAUUUGACUAUGUACAUUUAUUAAAAGGUAUUUUUGUGGUUGUUA